rnacentral:rRNA from 1 species
GAUGAACGCUGGCGGCGUGCCUAAUACAUGCAAGUCGAGCGAACGGACGAGAAGCUUGCUUCUCUGAUGUUAGCGGCGGACGGGUGAGUAACACGUGUAUAACCUACCUAUAAGACUGGGAUAACUUCGGGAAACCGGAGCUAAUACCGGAUAAUAUUUUGAACCGCAUGGUUCAAAAGUGAAAGACGGUCUUGCUGUCACUUAUAGAUGGAUCCGCGCUGCAUUAGCUAGUUGGUAAGGUAACGGCUUACCAAGGCAACGAUGCAUAGCCGACCUGAGAGGGUGAUCGGCCACACUGGAACUGAGACACGGUCCAGACUCCUACGGGAGGCAGCAGUAGGGAAUCUUCCGCAAAGGGCGAAAGCCUGACGGAGCAACGCCGCGUGAGUGAUGAAGGUCUUCGGAUCGUAAAACUCUGUUAUUAGGGAAGAAAAUAUGUGUAAGAAACUGUGCACAUCUUGACGGUACCUAAUCAGAAAGCAACGGCUAACUACGUG